AUUGAACGCUGGCGGAAUGCUUUACACAUGCAAGUCGAACGGCAGCACGGGUGCUUGCAUCUGGCGGCGAGUGGCGAACGGGUGAGUAAUGCACCGGAACGUACCCAGUAAUGGGGGAUAACUAUCCGAAAGGAUAGCUAAUACCGCAUACGCCCUGAGGGGGAACGCGGGGGAUCGUAAGACCUCGCGUUAUUGCCGCGGCCGACGCCGGAUUCGCUAGUUGGUGGGGUAAAGGCCCACCAAGGCGACGAUCCGUAGCUGGUCUGAGAGGACGACCAGCCACACUGGAACUGAGACACGGUCCAGACUCCUACGGGAGGCAGCAGUGGGGAAUUUUGGACAAUGGGCGAAAGCCUGAUCCAGCCAUUCCGCGUGAGUGAAGAAGGCCUUCGGGUUGUAAAGCUCUUUCGCAAGGAAAGAAAACUUACUUAUUAAUACUAGGUGAGGUUGACGGUACCUUGAUAAGAAGCACCGGCUAACUACGUGCCAGCCGCCGCAGUAA
rnacentral:rRNA from 1 species